GGUUGGAUCAUUACAAAAUGAUAUAUUUCUAGGUUUGUAGUCUACUUUUUCAAAGGUGUGAUUCGCCUAGAAAUAUCAAUUCACCCAAUGUGCACUGUUUCUGUUUUUCGGGUGAUUUUUGAAUUUUACAGUACUUUUUUGAAAUUUACAGUAAAAAGAGGAAAUUGCCCGGCAGUUUUAUAAACCCAACCAUAUUAUUUGUCUGAUAAUUUCUGAAAAUGAAAUGAUAAACAACUUUUGACAACGGAUCUCUUGGCUCUCGCAACGAUGAAGAACGCAGCGAAAUGCGAUACGUAAUGUGAAUUGCAGAAUUCCGUGAAUCAUCAAAUCUUUGAACGCAUAUUGCACUCUGUUUGCGCAGAGUAUGCCUGUUUGAGAAUCUAUAGUAUUCUUUUUCCCAAUUUUGAUUCGUUAAAAUUUGGGAAAGUUUUGCGGAUUUUGGGUCAAACCAAUUCUGUUAAAUCUAUAGUCAUUGUUUUUAUAGUAAAAUGUUUGAAGUUUCUAUAAAAAACUUUGCAGAAAUGUAUUUGAAUGAACCUACCAGUUCUCCCUAUACAAAUUAAGCAAAGAGAAAUUAGUUUUCUAUUAAAAGAAUGCUCAUAACCAUUAAAAAAAAAGUCGAUUGAUUUUUUUUUGAACCAUGGUCUCAAAUCAGGUAGGAUUACCCGCUGAACUUAAGCAUAUCAAUAAGCGGAGGAAAAGAAACUAACAAGGAUUCCCCUAGUAACGGCGAGUGAAGCGGGAAUAGCUCAAAUUUGAAAUCUCACUGUUUUACAGUGCGAAUUGUAGUUUAGAGAAAUGUUUUCUAGGCAGACGAUUAGUACAAGUUCAUUGGAACAUGACAUCAUAGAGGGUGAAAAUCCCGUCUUUGACUAAUUGCUCUGUCUAAUAUGAUACAUUUUCCAAGAGUCGGUUUGUUUGGGAAUGCAGACCAAAAUGGGUGGUAAAUACCAUCUAAAGCUAAAUAUUGGCGAGAGACCGAUAGCGAACAAGUACCGUGAGGGAAAGAUGAAAAGAACUUUGAAAAGAGAGUUAAACAGUACGUGAAAUUGUCAAAAGGGAAACGCUUGAAACCAGUAUUUUUUCUAGUAAUUCAGCCAUCUAUUAGAUGGUUUAUUUUACUAGGAAAGAGUCAACAUCAGUUUUAUUUGGAGUAAAAAACUAUGGGAAGGUAACCUAUUUCGAUAGGUGUUAUAGACCAUAGCUAUGCUCUGGAUGAGACUGAGGUCUGCAGUAUUUUUUGGCCAUCUGGCACACCAAUACUUGGGAUGUUGACGAAAUGGUUUUAAGCGACCCGUCUUGAAACACGGACCAAGGAGUCUAACAUAUAUGCGAGUAUUUGGGUGGAAAACCCUUAUGCGUAGUGAAAGCGAAAAGGUGGGAUUCUUUACUGAUGCACCAUCGGCCGCGCUAGAUUAUUACUAUCUCAGCGUGAGUAUGAGCAUAUCUGUUGGGACCCGAAAGAUGGUGAACUAUGCCUGAAUAGGGUGAAGCCAGAGGAAACUCUGGUGGAGGCUCGUAGCGGUUCUGACGUGCAAAUCGAUCGUCAAAUUUGGGUAUAGGGGCGAAAGACUAAUCGAACCAUCUAGUAGCUGGUUCCCUC
rnacentral:misc_RNA from 1 species